CUGGCCCAAACAAAGCGCUAGCGGAAGAGGAGCGAAAGCACACGGAUAACACCAGCUACGGUUCCUUCUUGCUGUGCGGUCGGUUGUAAUGUUAGAUUGCACGACCGACAAGGGAAUAAGCUUGAAAUGGUUUAUCUUUUCAUUCUUUCCCCACCUGGAAGCAACAUGAGGCAGCUCAUGUAUCAGAUGUUACCAAAAGAAGACGUCUAGUCUGGAUAGCAGCUGUGAGACGAGCUGAUAUCCAGCUCUCUUCCAUCUCCAAAUAUCUGUUGGUGCUCCAGACAUUUUCAUUCCGGCAAACCAGCCUAUGAAAUGGAUGAAACACAUCGUGACUGGGUUCCAGCGCUACACAAGGGGCACUCCGAAAUCCCUGCUUCAAACAUACCGCCAUGCCAAUCAGAUUACUUCUUCCAUGUGAGGGUGAAGAUGUGACCCUUCUGGAUAAGAUGGUGAAGGUUUGCUGCGUUUUGGUGAACAGUGUGGUAGUAAAACCAGGGAAAAAUGAAACUUGUGCCUGUUAAAUAUUCUUAAGUCUUGCGCUGUAUAAAUAGCGGUAAUUUUUCAAAAGAUACAGUAAAUUAAGUAGUGUUAGUAGUUGGUGAUAUCAUGUAAACGCUGUCAUGAUUUUGUGUAAACAUUUUGUCAUUUGUAAACUAUAAAUGACAUUGAUUCUACAUUGUAACUGAUGUGAUGUUCUAUAAAGUGGUUUUAAUAAAAAACAAAAGGCAAAAA